rnacentral:lncRNA from 1 species
AUGCAAGCCAACAGCUGCCACGUGGAUUGAGACCUAGACCCAGCCCUCCUGCUCCCCCGGUGCCCCGGGGCGCCCCUCACUCACUCCGUAGGGCGCAGAGCAACACGCUGCGAGCCUCGGAGCCCUCCCGCCGGCUUCAGCCAGGGGAGGGGGCUCCCGCUCCGGCAGGAAGUCCGGCGGCCGCUGACUUUAUAAGGGCAGUGGCAGCGGACCGGCUGGCGGGUGUGUUUACCAGAAGGGAAAGAGCCCGAGCUCCCCCCGCUGCCGCCGCGGCGCGGGUGUGUGGAGCGGCCAGAAGGGUGAGACCGAGCAAAACAGAGAGGAGCGGGUCAAGGAAGGGCAAGAGGGAGGAAAGCAUGAAUCCGUUCUCCGGGGAAGGCGAGGAGGGGGGCCCUCAGUGCCCUCGUCUGUGAAAUGGGGCUUUGGAUUCAGACACUCCCUCAGGUCGGUUGGACACCCCCAAGAGCGUCGUUCUGAACAGAGAAGUGCGGCCAGAGGGGGCCGAGAGGAAGAGGGGAGUCGGAGGGAGCAGAGCAGUGUAAAGGGGAGGAAGGACGCGCGUGGAGACUGGACAAGGCGCUGCGGGACCCAAGGGCUCAGGUAACGGGUUUUUUUUGUAGAGCCUAGGAGUGUCGGUGGCAGCGGACCCAGGUGGCUCCCGGCGCAUGUGCAGCCCGGGACCCCGACCCCCACCCUCUGCUCACCUUGGGUGGGGGGCAGACGCCCCUCCUGCAGCCGCGGACGCCUCUGGGAGCGCAGCGCCUGGGCGGCGCGUCCACACUCUCUGUGUCCCCUGUCGGGCGGGCCCAGCCUUAACCAGCACCCGCGCUCAGCACUUUGCUGCGCGCCGGAUCCCGGCAGCCUUGGAGGUUCAGCCCGACAGCUUGGUGAUAUUCUCGUCCACUGUCACCCCUUCGGAACACGUCCGGGAGCUGGGGACCCUCCGGGCGACACCAGUCCCCGAAGCAAGACAGGCACGAAGUGGACCUACGGCGUUGAUAGUUGUAUUUAUACCCGUCCGGAGCUGCACCCCGAGACAAAUCAGGCAGCACCCUCUGUAUCCUUGAUGAAAACAACCAGAUUGGGCUGCAGCAGACAGAUCGCGACAAAAGAAAAGGGACAGAUAUGGUCCGGUGUGUGCGUUUAACGAAUGGAGGAUACAUGGGAAAGGAGAGAGACUCUGAUCCCCUGAGACUACCCACAGCUUGAGUAGAACAGUGUUAUCGCCUUGGCUCUCCUGCGGGCUCCUGGCUGGAAGCUGCUUCACAGCUGAGUGGACAGGAGCGCUGGCUCAGGAGUGACACAGGCUUGGGCCUGAUCCUGGCUCUGCAGCUGAUUAGUCACGCAGUUUUGCCCAAGUCACUUUCGCUUCCUGAGCCUCACUCCUCUAGUCUGGUAAGUGCCAGAAAUAAAAGUAAAUUGGGUUCUUGGACCCAAUUCCAAUGUUGAGGGGGCGAGGUUUCCCCAAUACUGAGUAACAAUUCUCAGGACACCAGCAGGGUUUCGGAGAAUUCAACUCAAUUCUGACACUAUCUACCCAGAGAUAACACAAGAUUCCACA